rnacentral:rRNA from 1 species
GAUGAACGCUGGCGGCGUGCUUAACACAUGCAAGUCGAACGAGAAAUGUAGACGGAAACCUUCGGGCGGAAGCCUUCAUUUCGAGUGGCGGACGGGUGAGUAACGCGUGGGUAACCUGCCUCAUACAGGGGGAUAACAGUUGGAAACGACUGUUAAUACCGCAUAAGACCACAGCAUCGCAUGAUGCGGGGGUAAAAACUCCGGUGGUAUGAGAUGGACCCGCGUUCGAUUAGCCAGUUGGCGGGGUAACGGCCCACCAAAGCGACGAUCGAUAGCCGAUCUGAGAGGAUGACCGGCCACAUUGGGACUGAGACACGGCCCAAACUCCUACGGGAGGCAGCAGUGGGGAAUAUUGCACAAUGGGGGAAACCCUGAUGCAGCGACGCCGCGUGAGUGAAGAAGUACUUCGGUAUGUAAAGCUCUAUCAGCAGGGAAGAAAAUGACGGUACCUGAGUAAGAAGCCCCGGUUAACUACGUG